rnacentral:tRNA from 1 species
GGGGAAGUGCCGGAAUUGGCAGACGGGCCGGACUUAGGAUCCGGUGCCUUCGGGCGUGGGGGUUCGAGUCCCCCCUUCCCCA